rnacentral:rRNA from 1 species
GACGAACCGUGCGAACGUUAUUCGGAAUCACUGGGCGUAAAGCGCGUGUAGGCGGUCCGGUAAGUCCGCUGUGAAAGUCGGGGGGCUCAACCCUCGGAUGCCGGUGGAUACUGUCGGGCUUGAGUACGGAAGAGGCGAGUGGAAUUCCUGGUGUAGCGGUGAAAUGCGCAGAUAUCAGGAGGAACACCAAUUGCGAAGGCAGCUCGCUGGGACGUUACUGACGCUGAGACGCGAAAGCGUGGGGAGCAAACAGG